UAUCUAAUUCUUUUUCGUUGUUUUUGGUAGACAAAAUGCUUGUAGAAAUGUCUUAUUCAUUUGUUAAUUUUCACACAGUACCACCAGUGAACACAUCACCACCGAGCUUGUCCCCCUCUUUGCUUUAAUGUUGUUCUCUGGAGUUUCAACUCAGAUUCAGCCCUUCGUUGUGCAGUGAUAGUUCUGUUAUCUUUCUCUGGACCGUGCUCCACUUUAUUCUUCAUAAUCUACACUUGUGGGCGCACUGAAGGAGUGCUGUUGAAGGGUGGACUCUGAAGACACCAAUCUUCUUAAAAGGAUUCAAUCUACUAAGGUAUAUUUACAGAGUUAACUUCUGAUUCAACUCCUCUAGUUUGAUCGUAAAAAUCUAUUUGAUUAUUAGUGGUGAGCCCGAUACAUCAUUCUGUGUGAGCAAUGUUUAUAUUUUUAUUUAGGUAGAUGAUUUAUAGCUUUAAAAUCUACCAUUAUUUCUAUAAGCAGAUAAAUUGUAUAUCUUAUAAAUAUAAUUAUAUCUUGGUAAAAAUUAGGCUUGUCAGGCUAAUUAGGUGAACGUCAGCCACAGACCCGAAAUUGGGUCAUGACCUCAUAUGGGCUCCACACACUUUUAUAAGUGUAUAGUAGAUAAUUUUAUCGAACAUAAGAAACUUAAAAUAAAAAAAAUUGCAUCCAAGGAAAAAAAUGAAUGCAAUGUCAUUUAGUUAUUUAUUUUUUAAAUCACAUAAUCACAAUUUAAAUGAGAAUGAAUGGUAAAAAUAAAUUCAAAUAAUCCGAGACAACAUUAUAUGGAAUUACCAACUCAAACUCAAGGAGGGAUCUUAGUCUGUAGACUAGUGAACCGGAUCGAAUCGGCUGGGUUGAUCCGGAACCUGGUGAACCAGUAAUAUAGUCGGUUCGAGUCAAGCAAUGGAUAGGUUAUCCAUUGCACUUGGUAAAAGCCGGUUCGACGUGAUCGGUUUUUAUCAAAAUCAGUGACCCGACGGGUUCACAAAUAAACCGGCGGAUCAUGAAUUUUAAAAAGAAGAAAGAAAACUAUGUCGUUUUGCUCUUUUAUUCUCCUUUCAAUCAGUUUCUUCUCAUCAACAAGCCAUUUCUUCUCCAUCUGCUAGUAGUGCACGCCAAUUGACAAGGGUUUACCCAUUAAGUUCUCAACUUGUGCAAUUUCCUUCUAUAAUCUCUCGCUUUCUGCUACCCAACACUUUACCUCCUUCCCUUCCAUCAACCCCUUGACAUGGCUCACGAAGAGGGUUUGGAGGCAAUCUUCAAGUUCAACCCUAUCAGAAGCAGGAAGGGAUGAGAACGUUCCAUGUGAGCUCUGGCGUGAAAUCAUGGACUCCAGAAAGGAAAGAAUCCCAAAACCAAAGGACCGCCAGUUACUAGCAUUUGUAAACAGAGUUAUUAAUUUUGGAUAUACUCAAUCUCUGUAUCAGUUCUGCAAUGUUGCUCGUGAGGUUUUUUUUGGGGUUAUUGCUUGGUAUGUUGAUACCUAACAUGUUUAAUGUGAACCGAUAAUAUAGUUCAUUGAUAUUAAUUUGCUGAAUUUUUUUGGCAUGUUU